GAUGAACGCUGGCGGCGUGCCUAACACAUGCAAGUCGAACGGUGAAGCGCCUUCCUUUUUGGUCGGUGUGGAUGAGUGGCCAACGGGUGAGCAACACGUUAGCAACCUGCUCCCUCCUUCUUGACAACCGCAUGAAAGUGUGGCUAACACGGGAUAUUCUGGGUCUGUUGCAUGAUGGGUCUGGGAAAGAUUUUGUUUCGGUUGGGGAUGGGUUCGCGGCCUAUUAGCUUGUUGGUGGGGUGAUGGCCUACCAAGGCGGUGACGAGUAGCCGGCCUGAGAGGGUGGGCGACAACGCAGGGGCUGAAACGCGGAGAAGCCUACUACAGGCGGCAGUAGUGGAGAUUCCUGCACGAGGGGAGGAAGGAUGGUGCAGCGACGCGGCGGGGAGGAUGGUGGCCUGCGGGUUGUGAACCUCUUUCAGGAGAGAAGAAGGGCUGCCUCAAUUAUGCAUGGGUUGACGGUAGCUGAAUAAGAAGCGCCGGCUAACUACGUG
rnacentral:rRNA from 1 species